AUCCCAUUAGGCCAGCGACUCUUCUCAGUACAGAUAUGUGAAAAGCACACACAUCCAUGAAAUUCACGUAUAUUGCCAAUUACUUUGUACAUGUCAUUUCCCCUGCUGAAAUAGCCUCAACUCUUCCUUCUCUGUGUGAAAAAUCUUCAUUCUUCAAGACUGAGUUAAAAUGGAGGAUGAAAUAGAGGCUGGCAAGCUAGUGAAGAGGGGAGAUGUUACAGACCUUGUGCAGAAAGUUCUUAUUUCCAUUAAAAAAAAAAAAA